CUGAUUGGAGGAGCUGCUCUGAUGGGCGUGGCCAAAUGUUUUGCUAACGGCCAGAGGAGAGCAGUUGGUAGUUAUUUUGCAGGAGGCUUUUCUCAGGGAUGAAGGCAAGCUGGCCUCUAGCUGAUCAGCUGGUUGGUGAGGACUCCUCAGGAAGUCAGGGAUCAUUGUGAAGAUGGAAGAACGCCCACAAGGUCCAGGUUGUGCCUGCAGGCCCUGAGCAUCCUGCUGGCUCAGCUGUGGUAACCAAGGAGCAUCUCAGGCCCACAGUCAGUGGGGUCAUACCCCACACGUUGGGGCAGCUGCUGGGCAGAUCUCCAUUGUUUUUCCUUUGUGUUUCUUCUGUCCUACCCAGAAAGUUAACCUAUUUGUGGAGAGCUGUGACCCAAUGGCCUGGUCCAGUAGGUAAGUCAAGCGCUCAUGGUCAGCUAUCAAGCUCUAACAAAGUGUCAAGGCAGUCCCUGAAUCCAUAGCACCACUUUGUGAAGAACUAAGAAGCCAACCUUGAGGGACCACUCACCCCAAGAAGACUUUGUUCUGAGCUGAUGUCUCCCCAGCCUGGUGCCUUCCCUUUAUCCGAAAGAAGAUCUGUUAGGAUGAUUGGAACUUUGGUUCUUCCUGUUCACCCUCUGCCCUCUCUCCAGCCCCCUGCCUUAGACAGCAGAAGGAAAGAAAACUCAGCCCUCAGAGGUGGGAUCCUUCGGAAGGACCAACAGCGUGCUAGCUCUCCUGUGGUUGGGAGCCGGAAGUGGGGCAGUGCCUUUGGUUUGGCUCCUUGUCCAGAGCUGAGCUUUAUCACAGAGGUCUUCCCGCUUACCAUCAACAUUGAAACUUACCUCUUCGCUUGGGUGUAUUCUCCCUCUUUUGUGCACAGUUUGGUUCCUCCGAACUGCUCUCCCUGUGAAGGCCUGUGGAAUGCAGGGAGCCUGGCCAGCCACCCAGGCCCGUUACAAAGGCCCCACGUCCCACCGGAUGGAGGAGGGGGACCCAAUAAAGACUUUGCAAAAUGCU
rnacentral:sRNA from 1 species